GUCCACGCCGUAAACGAUGAGAACUGGUUUGUGGGUAUUGACUCCCUCAGAAACGAAGCUAACGCGUUAAGUUCUCCGCCUGGGAAGUACGGUCGCAAGACUAAAACUCAAAGAAAUUGACGGGGCCCGCACAAGCGGUGGAUUAUGUGGUUUAAUUCGAAGCAACGCGCAGAACCUUACCUAGGCUUGAAAUCCUACGAAUUCGACGUAAUUGUUGAAGUGCCCCUUCGGGGAGCGUAGAGACAGGUGCUGCAUGGCUGUCGU
rnacentral:rRNA from 1 species